GGGUUGUGAGGUUAAGCGACUAAGCGUACACGGUGGAUGCCCUGGCAGUCAGAGGCGAUGAAGGGCGUGCUAAUCUGCGAUAAGCGCCGGUAAGGUGAUAUGAACCGUUAUAACCGGCGAUACCCGAAUGGGGAAACCCAGUGUGAUUCGUCACACUAUCAUUAACUGAAUCCAUAGGUUAAUGAGGCGAACCGGGGGAACUGAAACAUCUAAGUACCCCGAGGAAAAGAAAUCAACCGAGAUUCCCCCAGUAGCGGCGAGCGAACGGGGAGGAGCCCAGAGCCUGAAUCAGCAUGUGUGUUAGUGGAAGCGUCUGGAAAGGCGCGCGAUACAGGGUGACAGCCCCGUACACAAAAGCGCAUAUGCUGUGAGCUCGAUGAGUAGGGCGGGACACGUGGUAUCCUGUCUGAAUAUGGGGGGACCAUCCUCCAAGGCUAAAUACUCCUGACUGACCGAUAGUGAACCAGUACCGUGAGGGAAAGGCGAAAAGAACCCCGGCGAGGGGAGUGAAAAAGAACCUGAAACCGUGUACGUACAAGCAGUGGGAGCCCCACCACUAAGCCAGUGGUGAACUCCACAUACGCAUCCUUUGCUGAGGAUACGGUUAACGGAGCGAAAGCGACGUUCAACCUCAAAAGAAGCAGAGGGGGCUUAGUGGUGGGGUGACUGCGUACCUUUUGUAUAAUGGGUCAGCGACUUAUAUUCUGUAGCAAGGUUAACCGUAUAGGGGAGCCGGAGGGAAACCGAGUCUUAAUUGGGCGUUAAGUUG
rnacentral:rRNA from 1 species